rnacentral:lncRNA from 1 species
UCCAAGAUAAAAUAUAAGCACAUAGGAAAGUCUAAUCUCAAGCUCUAGGACAAAUACAGUUGCAAAUCAAUCAUAGUGUUGCUCAUCUUUAGAAGGUCCGAUGAAAGAUGGGUGAAAUUCCCAACAAUCAUAAUUAAAAAUACUUUUAAAACUUAUUGAAAUUAUUCGAGAAAACCACCGAUAAACUCAAACAAAUAAGAGACCCACAAUCUAAGAAAACUACUGUAAAAAUCAUAUUCGAUCUUUGAUAGGAAGGAGCCCCUAUUGGAAUAGAGGGAUUAAGCCUCUACUAUUGAUAUGACCGCCACUCUUAGGAUCAAGGAGGCUUCAAGCAUCUCUGAAAAAGAAUGAAAUGGUAAGGGGUGAUUUUAGGAGACUCAUUGCGCCAAGCAAAGCCAUCCUCACAGACUACGGCUUCAUCAACCCUUCCAAAACAGGACUCUGUUAGGACCAUAGAAGAUGAUCCUUUAACCUGAAAAACCCAAAAAAGGAAAACCAUGCAAAAAACAAACAAAGCAAUCCAAAUUAAUCUCUCAAUAUAAGCACAAUUGUUAACAAUAAACAAUAAAGUUAUGUACACCCACCCAAUUUUGGGUGGAAAAAAUCACAUUUGAAAAGGAGGAGGCUUUCCACUGUCCAGAAGAACAGGG